rnacentral:tRNA from 10 species
GCCAAAGUAGCUCAAUGGUAGAGCAGCUGUUUUGUAAACAGCAGGUUGUGGGUUCGAUCCCCACCUUUGGCUCCA